rnacentral:rRNA from 1 species
GAUCAUGGCUACGAGGACGAACGCUGGCGGCGUGCCUAACACAUGCAAGUCGAGCGGGACAUGCGACGGAGACGAAGUACUCGUACGGAGUCAAAGAUGUAAUGUUCUAGCGGCGGACGGGUGAGUAACGCGUGAGCAACCUGUCCCUUACAGGGGGAUAACACAGCGAAAGUUGUACUAAUACCGCAUAAGACCACAGAGUGACAUCGCUCAGGGGUCAAAGGAGCAAUCCGGUAAGGGGUGGGCUCGCGUCCGAUUAGAUAGUUGGUGAGGUAACGGCCCACCAAGUCGACGAUCGGUAGCCGACCUGAGAGGGUGAUCGGCCACAUUGGGACUGAGACACGGCCCAAACUCCUACGGGAGGCAGCAGUGGGGAAUAUUGGGCAAUGGGGGGAAACCCUGACCCAGCAACGCCGCGUGAGGGAAGAAGGUUUUCGGAUCGUAAACCUCUGUCCCAGGUGAAGAGGAAGAGACGGUAGCCUGGGAGGAAGCCCCGGCUAACUACGUGCCAGCCGCCGC